CGAUUUCAUCUGCCGUCUACCAAGCUUUUUCCUUUUCUCCGAACGUUCUCUCCUCUCAGUCCCUCGAACACCGCUGCUCUCGCCGUUGACUUCCACCAUUGACCCCGACGCCGUCGUUUUCGCCUCGCCGUAAAAUUUCGGCGGAGAAGACAAUGGUGACGGAAGUUACGGAGACUAAGCGUUGGUGCGUCGUCACCGGUGGUAGAGGAUUCGCAGCGAGGCAUCUUGUGGAAAUGCUCAUACGUCACGAGAUUUUCCACGUCCGUAUCGCCGAUUUGGCUCCGGCGAUACAGCUUGAGCCUCACGAGGAGACUGGGCUUCUCGGUGAAUCAAUUAGAUCCGGUCGAGUUCAGUACGUUUCUGCUGAUCUUCGGAACAAAUCUCAAGUUGUCAAAGGUUUUGAGGGAGCAGAAGUGGUGUUUCAUAUGGCUGCUCCAGAUUCGUCGAUUAAUAAUCACCAGCUUCAUUACUCAGUUAAUGUUCAAGGGACGACAAAUGUAAUUGAUGCUUGUAUUGAGGUUGGAGUAAAGAGGCUAAUCUACACAAGCUCUCCGAGUGUCGUGUUUGACGGUGUCCAUGGUACUUUGAAUGCCGAUGAAUCAAUGCCGUAUCCACCUAAGCAUAAUGACUCGUAUUCAGCAACUAAAGCUGAAGGGGAAGCUUUGAUAUUAAAAGCGAAUGGAAGAAAUGGACUACUCACUUGUUGCAUACGUCCUAGCAGUAUAUUUGGUCCUGGUGAUAAAUUAAUGGUUCCAUCGCUUGUUACUGCUGCCAGAGCUGGGAAAUCCAAGUUCAUUAUAGGUGAUGGGAGUAACUUCUAUGAUUUCACUUAUGUUGAAAAUGUUGUGCACGCCCAUGUCUGCGCUGAGCGAGCACUAGCAUCAGAAGGAGAAGUAUGUGCAAAAGCUGCAGGCCAGGCAUACUUCAUUACGAACAUGGAGCCAAUUAAAUUUUGGGAGUUUAUGUCACAGCUUCUUGAAGGACUUGGCUAUGAGAGGCCGAGUAUAAAGAUACCUGCAAUGCUAAUGAUGCCAAUAGCACAUCUUGUGGAACUGGCAUAUAAAUUACUGGGACCAUAUGGAAUGAAAGUACCAGUGCUAACACCUUCUAGAGUUAGGUUACUCUCUUGCAACAGAACUUUUGAUUCUUCAAAAGCAAAGGAUCGUUUAGGCUAUGCUCCUGUUGUCCCACUUCAGGAAGGUAUAAAAAGGACAAUAGAUUCGUUCUCAUACUUGGCUGCUCAAAAUCAACCCAAAACAGAAGUUACUGAUACUACAAUUCAAUGGGAAAAGCAGACUCUCAUUGCCAUAGUCAUUCUGAUUACUCUCUAUCAUAACUUUGUUGCAACUGCGGGAUCUUCUUCCGUCAUAAUAACUGCUCUUUCCAAGGUUUUGUUGGUAUCAUCAAUCUUUUUAUUCAUCCAUGGCCUUUUACCAGAGAAAAUGAAAAUGUUUGGGAGCAAGAAGAGUAACUAAAGAAGACUCAAAACUUGAGCUCUCGCCUUUGCAUAAGUGUGUACACCUAUGAAUGUUCCUUGUUAAAAUCUUAGGAGAGGAAACUCGCAAAGGAAAAUAAAGAGCUGAAGGAGAAAGUGGCUUGGAAUGGGAGCAACAGUAGCAUCAUCACAAUCAACGUUCAUCAUCAUCAGAAGUGAACAUAGAUGACGAUGACAAUAUAUGGAAGUGGAGACUGGUUUGUUCAUUGGACCUCCUGAGACAAGACAACCCAAGAAAGUCCCUCCUCAAAUCUAGUCUCACCACUUCACAAUGAAUGUAUCAACAACUACCAACUAUUUCAUUUGCUGUAUAAUAUUUUCGUCCAAAAAGUCUGAGAUAUUCAAUAAUUUCUGAACAUAGUGUAUUAAUUUAUUCUUUCUCAAGCAGCUAAACUUAAAAAACAAAAA